rnacentral:lncRNA from 1 species
UAUUUUGAGCCUGUACGUAUAGUGCUGGCAGGGGCAACUACUCUUGUCCAUGUGAUCUUUGACUUGAGCAAAUUAGGAUUUAUUUCUUACUGUCCAUUCUAAUACGAAUACGUGACAUUACCCUUUGUUCAACACUUUUUUUUUUUUUUACUUUUUAAAUUAAUAUAUUUAUGUUUUCUUCAAUCUAUUUGUUAAACCCGUGAAGCUAUUGUUAUUGAUCG